rnacentral:sRNA from 1 species
GAAAAAUGCAUUUUAGUUUCCUCAGCAUUCACAAUGUAGAACCUUCCAGAGAAGCUUUCUUUUCUUUCUGGCAUCUGGAUAAAUGGAGGAAUAGCAUGAAGCGAUUAUCUUAACAAGAAAACCAACUGGAAAAAAAAUGAAAUUCCUUAUCUUCGCAUUUUUUGGUGGUGUUCACCUUUUAUCCCUGUGCUCUGGGAAAGCUAUAUACAAGAAUGGCAUCUGUAAGAGGACUUUUGAAGAAAUAAAAGAAGAAAUAGCCAGCUAUGGAGAUGUUGCUAAAGCAAUCAUCAACCUAGCUGUUUAUGGUAAAGCCCAGAACAGAUCCUAUGAGCGAUUGGCACUUCUGGUUGAUACUGUUGGACCCAGACUGAGUGGCUCCAAGAACCUAGAAAAAGCCAUCCAAAUUAUGUACCAAAACCUGCAGCAAGAUGGGCUGGAGAAUGUUCACCUGGAGCCAGUGAGAAUACCCCACUGGGAGAGGGGAGAAGAAUCAGCUGUGAUGCUGGAGCCAAGAAUUCAUAAGAUAGCCAUCCUGGGUCUUGGCAGCAGCAUUGGGACUCCUCCAGA